rnacentral:lncRNA from 1 species
UCUUGAACUGUAGAUUCCAAAAUCCCCGCGUGUUGUGGGAGGGACUCGGUAGGAAGUAAUUGAAUCAUGGGGGAAUUACUUGCAUGCUGUUCUUGUGCUAGUGAAUUCUCAUGAGAUCUGAUGGUUGUAUAAGGGUCUUUUCCCCUCAUUUGCACAGCACUUCUCCUUGCUGCUGCCAUGUGAACAAGAACAUGUUUGCUGCCCCUUCAGGGAUGAUUGUAAGUUUCUUGAGGCCUCCUCAGAGCUGCAGAACUGAGGAAUUUGGACACAGAGACGGACACUCCCAGAAGAAAUACAAUGUGAAGACACACAGGGAGAAGAUAGCCUUGUACCAGGAAGAUGCAUCUGCAGACCAACAAAUGCCAAGGAUUGCCAGAGAACACCAGAAACUGGAAGAAUCAAGGAAGGAUUCUCCCCUGGAGCCAUCAGAGACAACGUGACCUAAUAUCACCUGGAUUUCUCACUACUAGCUUUCAGAACUGUGAGAUAAUAAAUUUUUGUUGCUUUGAGAUAAUGGUAAUUUGUUCACAGCAAUCUUAGCAAACUAACACACUCUACAUGCAAGUAUUAACAUAGUUUUCUUUUUCUUCCUCUGAAUUUCAUGUUAGUAUAAUUCAUUUUCCUUGGUUUAUAAUCACAAAAUCCUCAAGAGAAAAUUAUUUCUACAAAUCAGCAUUAAUAGUUGUAAUUUUGAAAACUUUUUUAGAAUUACACUUUAUGUUCUGGGACACAUAUGCAGAAUGUGUAGGUUUGUUACACAGGUAUACGCAUGCCAUGGUGGUUUGCUGCACACAUCAACCCACCAACUACAUUAGGUAUUUCUCCCAAUGGUGUCCCUCCCCUAGUUCCCCACACCCCAAAAGGUUCCAGUGUGUGAUGUUCCCCUCCCUGUGUCUAUACAUUCUC